GAUGAACGCUGGCGGCGUGCCUAUACAUGCCAGUCGAGCGAACGGACGAGAAGCUUGCUUCUCUGAUGUUAGCGGCGGACGGGUGAGUAACACGUGGAUAACCUACCUAUAAGACUGGGAUAACUUCGGGAAACCGGAGCUAAUACCGGAUAAUAUUUUGAACCGCAUGGUUCAAAAGUGAAAGACGGUCUUGCUGUCACUUAUAGAUGGAUCCGCGCUGCAUUAGCUAGUUGGUAAGGUAACGGCUUACCAAGGCAACGAUGCAUAGCCGACCUGAGAGGGUGAUCGGCCACACUGGAACUGAGACACGGUCCAGACUCCUACGGGAGGCAGCAGUAGGGAAUCUUCCGCAAUGGGCGAAAGCCUGACGGAGCAACGCCGCGUGAGUGAUGAAGGUCUUCGGAUCGUAAAACUCUGUUAUUAGGGAAGAACAUAUGUGUAAGUAACUGUGCACAUCUUGACGGUACCUAAUCAGAAAGCCACGGCUAACUACGUG
rnacentral:rRNA from 1 species